AUUGAACGCUGGCGGCAUGCUUUACACAUGCAAGUCGAACGGCAGCGCGGGCUUCGGCCUGGCGGCGAGUGGCGAACGGGUGAGUAAUACAUCGGAACGUGCCCAGUAGUGGGGGAUAGCUCGGCGAAAGCCGGAUUAAUACCGCAUACGACCUGAGGGUGAAAGCGGGGGAUCUUCGGACCUCGCGCUAUUGGAGCGGCCGAUGGCAGAUUAGCUAGUUGGUGGGGUAAAGGCCUACCAAGGCGACGAUCUGUAGCUGGUCUGAGAGGACGACCAGCCACACUGGGACUGAGACACGGCCCAGACUCCUACGGGAGGCAGCAGUGGGGAAUUUUGGACAAUGGGCGAAAGCCUGAUCCAGCACAUGCCGUCGUGUGUGAAUGAAAGGGCCUU
rnacentral:rRNA from 1 species